rnacentral:rRNA from 1 species
UACGAAGGGUGCAAGCGUUACUCGGAAUUACUGGGCGUAAAGCGUGCGUAGGUGGUUUGUUAAGUCUGUUGUGAAAGCCCCGGGCUCAACCUGGGAAUGGCAAUGGAUACUGGCAGGCUAGAGUGCGGUAGAGGGUAGUGGAAUUCCCGGUGUAGCGGUGAAAUGCGUAGAGAUCGGGAGGAACACCAGUGGCGAAGGCGGCUACCUGGACCAGCACUGACACUGAGGCACGAAAGCUAGGGGAGCAAACAGG